AUGACCCUAGGGGCGGGAGCGGGAACCCCGGGCCCGGGGGUUGGGGGCUUCAAGACAGGGAGGUGGGGGCCGGAUGCCAGGGAGACUAUUGGGCUCCCACUCCCACGCCCAGGCCCAGCUGGGCACUGUGAACGGACGGGAGGGGGCUCCGGUGGGGGGUGGGGCGGGGUCCGGAGCCGGGGAGCCUGGCGGGAGCCAGCACCUAUGCUCGCCGCGUUCCGGCCUGCCUUUGGCACCCCUCUCACCCCACACGCCCCUCCCGGGGGGCCCUUUCCGCGCGCCGCGUCCCAGGGUGCAGCCUGGCGGCCGUGCCUGCACCGUGGGAAGGGGUGGAGGUGGGGCCGGGACGCGGGGCUAUGGGCCGGGCACGGGGCCGCGUUGCCCGCGAUGCCGGGCGCAUGCCUCAGCCUCUGCCCGAGCCCGAGAUGGGGUCAGAGGCUGCAGCAGACGCCAGCAUCUCCCCGCCGGGGCCUCGAGGACCGGGCAGCCAUCGCCGCCAUCGCCGCCGCCGCUGUUGCCUGCGCUGCUGAGACCAGGCUGGAGAUGGGUAAGUUGACCCUAGCAUCCAAGGGAACCCGCCCCGCAGCCCCUCCAUCCACGCCCUCCUCCUGGUCCUCCGCCUCCAUCUCUGCGUUCCUGGCACAACCACCCUCCCACGGCGUCAGGGCUCCCACAGUCCACUCCUUCCCUGAGCGUGACCCUUGGGGCAGGAGUGGGAGCCCCGGGCCGGGGUUGGGGGCGUGGAGACAGAGAGGUGAGGGCCGGAUGCCAGGGAGACUAUUGGGCUCCGACGCCCCCCCCAGGCCUACAGGGGAACUGCGAACAAAGGGCAGGGGGCUCCAGUGGGGGAAUGGGGUGGGGUCCGGAGCCGGGGAGCCUGGCGGGAGCUGGCACCUCUUCUCGCCUAGCUCGGCCUCCCCUUGACACCCCUCUCGCCCCACACACCCUUCCUGGGGGGCCCCUCCCCCGCGCCGCGUCCCAGGGUGCAGCCUGGCAGCAGUGACUGGAGGCGGAAGGGGUGGAGGUGGGGGCGUGAGGCGGGGAUGUGGGCCGGGCGCGGGGCCGCGAGGCCCGCGAUGCCGGGCGCAUGCCUCAGCCUCCGCCAGAGCCUGAAAUGGGGUGAGAGGCUGCAGCAGACGCCAGCAUCUGCCCGCCGGGGCCUCAAGGGCCGCGCAGCCAUCGCCGCCGCCGCCGCCGCUGCUGUUGCCUGCGCUACUGAGAACAGGCUGGAGAUGGACUCUGCAGGAGCUCGAGAUGGGGUGAGAGGCCUUAGCAGACGCCAGUAUCUCCCCGCUGGGGCCUCGAGGGCUGCGCAGCCAUCACCGACGCUGCCGCUGUUGCCUCCGCUGCUGAGACCAGGCUGGAGAUGGAUGGGGGAAUGGAGGCUCUGUCUUGUUAAGGACCACCCAUCCUUUGCCUCUCGGCUUCAGCAUCCGUUCAUUGUUCAGAGAGGCUCCUUGCUGUGGGCUGGGCAGAGCACCACUUCUCUUUCUUCAGUGUGUUUGCUGUGGCGUGUUCCACUAGGCCGUGAGUUCCCUAUCCUAUAGGAGCUUGAAUGAAUGAAUGAAUCUUCAGUGUGUUUGCUGUGGCGUGUUCCACUAGGCCGUGAGUUCCCUAUCCUAUAGGAGCUUGAAUGAAUGAAUGAAUGAAUGAAUGAAUGACUUUCAGCCCCAGGGAGCAUCCCUGUUCUUUUACCCAUUCCUCUUCCCUUUCCCUCCCUGUGGGAGGAGACUAACCCUCCAGAGGGCAUCCUCACACCAUGCAGGGAUGGUCACAGGGACCCUGCUUAGCCACACCUGCCAGAAGGGAAGGGGAAGUGAGGCUUUGGGCGGGACUGAAAGCAGGCCUGGUAGAAGGGUAGUGGACCACCCUCCUGUGGUCUAGAGUGGGGCUGACAUGGGCCCACAGCACUGCCUGUAACCCAGGAAGUUAACGGGGUCCCAAAAUACUUUUUCUUGCACCGCCCCAAGUGGAAAUUCCCCUGUUGGCCCACUUAUUUUCGCUUUAUCUAGAAAAAUAAAGUUGGAAAUAAUCAUUCACACACCCUAA